rnacentral:rRNA from 1 species
GUGGGGAAUUUUGGACAAUGGGCGCAAGCCUGAUCCAGCAAUGCCGCGUGCAGGAAGAAGGCCUUCGGGUUGUAAACUGCUUUUGUACGGAACGAAACGGUCCGGGUUAAUACCCUGGGCUAAUGACGGUACCGUAAGAAUAAGCACCGGCUAACUACGUGCCAGCAGCCGCGGUAAUACGUAGGGUGCAAGCGUUAAUCGGAAUUACUGGGCGUAAAGCGUGCGCAGGCGGGUUUGUAAGACAGGCGUGAAAUCCCCGGGCUCAACCUGGGAAUUGCGCUUGUGACUGCAAGGCUGGAGUGCGGCAGAGGGGGAUGGAAUUCCGCGUGUAGCAGUGAAAUGCGUAGAUAUGCGGAGGAACACCGAUGGCGAAGACAAUCCCCUGGGCCUGCACUGACGCUCAUGCACGAAAGCGUGGGGAGCAAACAGGAUUAGAAACCCGGGUAGUCC